rnacentral:rRNA from 1 species
CCGUGCGAAGGUAGCACAAUCACUUGUUCUUUAAAUCAGGACUAGUAUGAACGGCUUCACGAGAGCUAUACUGUCUCCCUCCCCCAAUCAGUGAAUCUAAUCUCCCCGUGAAGAAGCGGGGAUAUCCCUAUAAGACGAGAAGACCCCAUGGAGCUUAAAACUUGUACCACUGCCUCAACUACACCACUAACCCAGGCAAACAUGACUACCAGUCUUUCAGCUGGGGCGACUACGGAGAAAAACUCAACCCCCGUGAUAAGCAAUCCGAGAAUUACUAUUCUAAGAAUCAACAUAUUGACAUAAUUGACCCAAAUAUUGAUCAACGAACAAAGUUACCCUGGGGAUAACAGCGCAAUCCAUUUCUAGAGACCCCAUCAACAAAUGGGCUUACGACCUCGAUGUUGGAUCAGGGUGUCCUAGUGG